GACGAACGCUGGCGGCGUGCUUAACACAUGCAAGUCGAACGAAGUGGCGAACGGGUGCGUAAUACGUGAGUAACCUGCCCUCCUUUUUGGGAUAAGCCUUGGAAACGGGGUCUAAUACCGACUAAAGGGGGAUGGGCUCGCGGCCUAUCAGCUUGUUGGGGGGGUGAUGGCCUACCAAGGGGGUGGCGGGUAGCCGGCCUGAGAGGGUGACCCGGCGCCUUAGGACUGGGCUACGGCCCAGCCGGCUACGGUAGGCGGCAGUGUGGGAUAAUGGACAAAGGGCGGACGCCUGAUGCCGGGGCGCGGCGUGGGGGAUUACGGCUUUCGAGUUGUAAACCUCUGUCGCUAUCGAACGGGUAGGUGGAGAAGAAGCGCCGGCUAACUACGUGCCAGCAGCCGCGGUAAUAC
rnacentral:rRNA from 1 species